rnacentral:tRNA from 1 species
GAGUGAGUAAUUUAAAUAAAAUAUCAAGCUGUGACCAUGACAAUAGGAACCCAUCCUCACACACC